rnacentral:rRNA from 1 species
GAUGAACGCUGGCGGCGUGCCUAAUACAUGCAAGUCGAGCGAACAGACGAGGAGCUUGCUCCUUUGACGUUAGCGGCGGACGGGUGAGUAACACGUGGGUAACCUACCUAUAAGACUGGGAUAACUUCGGGAAACCGGAGCUAAUACCGGAUAAUAUUUCGAACCGCAUGGCUCGAUAGUGAAAGAUGGCUCUGCUAUCACUUAUAGAUGGACCUGCGCCGUAUUAGCUAGUUGGUAAGGUAACGGCUUACCAAGGCAACGAUACGUAGCCGACCUGAGAGGGUGAUCGGCCACACUGGAACUGAGACACGGUCCAGACUCCUACGGGAGGCAGCAGUAGGGAAUCUUCCGCAAUGGGCGAAAGCCUGACGGAGCAACGCCGCGUGAGUGAUGAAGGUCUUCGGAUCGUAAAACUCUGUUAUUAGGGAAGAACAAACGUGUAAGUAACUGUGCACGUCUUGACGGUACCUAAUCAGAAAGCCACGGCUAACUACGUG